rnacentral:misc_RNA from 1 species
UACGGAGGAUCCAAGCGUUAUCCGGAAUCAUUGGGUUUAAAGGGUCCGUAGGCGGGACAAUAAGUCAGUGGUGAAAGUCUGUGGCUCAACCAUAGAAUUGCCAUUGAAACUGUUGUCCUUGAGUUAUUGUGGAGUGGUUGGAAUAUGUAGUGUAGCGGUGAAAUGCAUAGAUAUUACAUAGGACACCGAUUGCGAAGGCAGAUCACUAACAAUAUACUGACGCUGAUGGACGAAAGCGUGGGUAGCAAACAGG